rnacentral:piRNA from 1 species
UCCUUCAAGAAGCCGGGGAACUCAGGCAGU